GACAGAGGAUGCAAGCGUUAUCCGGAAUUAUUGGGCGUAAAGAGCUCGUAGGCGGUUUGUUGCGUCGGCUGUGAAAUCCCGAGGCUCAACCUCGGGUCUGCAGUCGAUACGAGCAAACUAGAGUGUUGCAGGGGAGACUGGAAUUCCUGGUGUAGCGGUGAAAUGCGCAGAUAUCAGGAGGAACACCGGUGGCGAAGGCGGGUCUCUGGGCAACAACUGACGCUGAGGAGCGAAAGCGUGGGGAGCGAACAGG
rnacentral:rRNA from 1 species